rnacentral:misc_RNA from 1 species
GUUGGUGAACCAGCGGAGGGAUCAUUGCUGGAACAAACGCCCUCACGGGUGCUACCCAGAAACCCUUUGUGAAUACUACCUAAAAUGUUGCCUCGGCGCAGGUUGGCCUCUUCGGAGGCCCCCCGUUUCCUUACGGAGAGGGGGAGCAGACCGGCCGGUGGCCCACUGAAACUCUUGUUUUUGUAAAAUCAUCUGAGUAAAAACAACUAAAUGAAUCAAAACUUUCAACAACGGAUCUCUUGGUUCUG